CCUACGGGAGGCAGCAGUGGGGAAUAUUGGACAAUGGGCGCAAGCCUGAUCCAGCAAUGCCGCGUGGAUGAAGAAGGUCUUCGGAUUGUAAAGUCCUUUCGGCGGGGACGAUGAUGACGGUACCCGCAGAAGAAGCCCCGGCUAACUUCGUGCCAGCAGCCGCGGUAAUACGAAGGGGGCUAGCGUUGCUCGGAAUGACUGGGCGUAAAGGGCGCGUAGGCGGUUUGGUCAGUUAGACGUGAAAUUCCUGGGCUCAACCUGGGGACUGCGUUUAAGACGGCCAGGCUUGAGUGUGAAAGAGGGUCGUGGAAUUCCCAGUGUAGAGGUGAAAUUCGUAGAUAUUGGGAAGAACACCGGUGGCGAAGGCGGCGACUUGGUUCAUUACUGACGCUGAGGCGCGAAAGCGUGGGGAGCAAACAGGAUUAGAUACCCUGGUAGUCCACGCCGUAAACGAUGUGUGCUGGAUGUUGGGUGACGUAGUCACUCAGUGUCGUAGCUACGCGAUAAGCACACCGCCGUGGGGUAGGUACCGGGCCGGCCGAGGUUAGGUAAACGUACGAAAGUAGAAGUUAGUAACGGUCGUGUUAGACGUGCCGAACGGCGACCGACGAGGGGAGGUUAGG
rnacentral:rRNA from 1 species